rnacentral:rRNA from 2 species
CGGCGAACGGGUGAGUAACACGUGAGUAACCUGCCCUGGACUUUGGGAUAACCCUCGGAAACGGGGGCUAAUACCGGAUAUGACAUGUGCCUGCAUGGGUGUGUGUGGAAAGUUUUUCGGUCUGGGAUGGGCUCGCGGCCUAUCAGCUUGUUGGUGGGGUGAUGGCCUACCAAGGCGACGACGGGUAGCCGGCCUGAGAGGGCGACCGGCCACACUGGGACUGAGACACGGCCCAGACUCCUACGGGAGGCAGCAGUGGGGAAUAUUGCACAAUGGGCGGAAGCCUGAUGCAGCGACGCCGCGUGAGGGAUGACGGCCUUCGGGUUGUAAACCUCUUUCAGCAGGGACGAAGCGGAAGUGACGGUACCUGCAGAAGAAGCGCCGGCCAACUACGUGCCAGCAGCCGCGGUAAGACGUAGGGCGCGAGCGUUGUCCGGAUUUAUUGGGCGUAAAGAGCUCGUAGGCGGCUUGUCGCGUCGACCGUGAAAACUUGGGGCUCAACUCCAAGCCUGCGGUCGAUACGGGCAGGCUCGAGUUCGGUAGGGGAGACUGGAAUUCCUGGUGUAGCGGUGAAAUGCGCAGAUAUCAGGAGGAACACCGGUGGCGAAGGCGGGUCUCUGGGCCGAUACUGACGCUGAGGAGCGAAAGCGUGGGGAGCGAACAGGAUUAGAUACCCUGGUAGUCCACGCUGUAAACGUUG